CGCAACGGGCAUGCUCAGUACGGCGAGUGAAGCGGCAAGAGCUCAAAUUUGAAAGCUGGCUCCUUCGGAGUCCGCAUUGUAAUUUGCAGAGGAUGCUUUGGGUGCGGCCCCCGUCUAAGUGCCCUGGAACGGGCCGUCAGAGAGGGUGAGAAUCCCGUCUUGGGCGGGGUGUCCGUGCCCGUGUAAAGCUCCUUCGACGAGUCGAGUUGUUUGGGAAUGCAGCUCUAAAUGGGUGGUAAAUUUCAUCUAAAGCUAAAUACUGGCCGGAGACCGAUAGCGCACAAGUAGAGUGAUCGAAAGAUGAAAAGCACUUUGAAAAGAGAGUUAAACAGCACGUGAAAUUGUUGAAAGGGAAGCGCUUGCGACCAGACUCGCCCGCGGGGUUCAGCCGGCAUUCGUGCCGGUGUACUUCCCCGUGGGCGGGCCAGCGUCGGUUUGGGCGGCCGGUCAAAGGCCCCUGGAAUGUAGUACCCUCCGGGGUACCUUAUAGCCAGGGGUGCAAUGCGGCCAGCCUGGACCGAGGAACGCGCUUCGGCACGGACGCUGGCAUAAUGGUCGUAAACGACCCGUCUUGAAAC
rnacentral:rRNA from 1 species